GGAUGAAGAACGUAGCGAAAUGCGAUACUUGGUGUGAAUUGCAGAAUCCCGUGAACCAUCGAGUCUUUGAACGCAAGUUGCGCCCGAAGCCAUCAGGUUGAGGGCACGUCUGCCUGGGCGUCACAUAUCGUUGCCCAAUGCCUAUUGCAGUGCAAUAGGAAUUUCUAGGGCGAAUGAUGGCUUCCCGUGAGCGUUGUUGCCUCGCGGUUGGUUGAAAAUCGAGUCCUUGGUAGGGUGUGCCAUGGUAGAUGGUGGUCGAGUUAGAACGAUACCGAUCAUGUGCAUGCUCCCCAAAAUAUGGCCUCUAUGACCCACACGCGUCUUUUGACGCUCAUGACGAGACCUCAGGUCAGGCGGGGCUACCCGCUGAGUUUAAGCAUAUCAAUAAGCGGAGGA
rnacentral:misc_RNA from 1 species